rnacentral:rRNA from 1 species
GAUGAACGCUGGCGGCGUGCCUAAUACAUGCAAGUCGAGCGAACAGACGAGGAGCUUGCUCCUCUGACGUUAGCGGCGGACGGGUGAGUAACACGUGGAUAACCUACCUAUAAGACUGGGAUAACUUCGGGAAACCGGAGCUAAUACCGGAUAAUAUAUUGAACCGCAUGGUUCAAUAGUGAAAGACGGUUUUGCUGUCACUUAUAGAUGGAUCCGCGCCGCAUUAGCUAGUUGGUAAGGUAACGGCUUACCAAGGCAACGAUGCGUAGCCGACCUGAGAGGGUGAUCGGCCACACUGGAGCUGAGACACGGUCCAGACUCCUACGGGAGGCAGCAGUAGGGAAUCUUCCGCAAUGGGCGAAAGCCUGACGGAGCAACGCCGCGUGAGUGAUGAAGGUCUUCGGAGCGUAAAACUCUGUUAUUAGGGAAGAACAAAUGUGUAAGUAACUAUGCACGUCUUGACGGUACCUAAUCAGAAAGCCACGGCUAACUACGUG